rnacentral:lncRNA from 1 species
AGCACUGGCAUCCUGGAUUUGUCCCUCAAAGUUGGCCAUUGAACUUGCGGCAAAACUUGUUUUCCCCUCGUUUUCUUAUCGUUUCUGCGGCAGCUGCUGGCGUGGCUUUUGUGGUUAAGAGUCGAGGCGAGUUGGCCGGAUUGUAAUGGUGAAUAGAGCACAGCAGGGUGUACCUUAAUGUGUGUGGCAUGCUCGACUUGGCAAGAGGCAAGGGCGAUCAGUUGUGGCAGAGCAACCCACCGAGAAGUCCGCUCCAAAUGCAACAGACCAGAAACCCGACCGAAUAAAGAGAACUUCUAGGCUUUUGGAGACUGCUCGUUAUUUAAUUUCCAGUCAAUCUCUUUAAUUAGCUGUUAACUUCCGCAACAUUUGCGCCAAAGAACGCUUGUCUUGUCUUGCCAAAAAAAAAUAAAACAC